UACGGAGGGUGCAAGCGUUGUUCGGAAUUAUUGGGCGUAAAGAGCGUGUAGGCGGUUUAGCAAGUCAGAUGUGAAAGCCCUGGGCUUAACCCGGGAAGUGCAUUUGAAACUGCUUUACUUGAGUAUGGGAGAGGAGAGUGGAAUUCCUGGUGUAGAGGUGAAAUUCGUAGAUAUCAGGAGGAACAUCUGUGGCGAAGGCGACUCUCUGGACCAAUACUGACGCUGAGACGCGAAAGCGUGGGUAGCAAACAGG
rnacentral:rRNA from 1 species